UUACGGCCAUAUCAAGUUGAAACGCCAGUUCUCGUACGAUCAUCGAAGUUAAGCAAUGUCGAAUCUCUUCAGUACCCAGAUGGGUGGCCGUUUGGGUAUACAAGGUGCCGUAA